rnacentral:lncRNA from 1 species
GGGGACAAUGGACUUCAUCAGUCACUCUAGCAGGAAACUUGGUUUCAACUAAAGAAGGAGGAGACAGGAGUACAUGAAGGAUUUCUUGGAUUUCACAGGACAAGUUCAUAGAGCUAUCUGCCUCAGAACUUGCCCCAUUCCUCAAAACAAUGAAAGAAUGACUCUGAAGGCAAUUCAGAGACCAUCAGGGCUGCCUCCUUGAUUUCAAAAUAGGGAAACUAUUGCUUUGCUGUCAAUAAGCCUUGGGGGCAGGGCCACCUUACAGAGCGCUGAGGGCGCAGAGCUCCCAGGACUGGACAGCCACUCCAGUGAGUCUGGAAGGCACAGCAUUGAGCCCAAGAUGAGACUAACAAUCUAAUGUAGUUUGCCUUGGUAAGUUUUGGGCUUGCCUGGGAACUUUCACCCCUUCCUGCUUUCCUGUUUCUUCUCUUUGGAAUAAGAAUAUUUCUCCUAUGCCCGUUUCACCAUUGUUUUUUGGAAAAACAACUUGUUUUGUUUCAACGGUUCACAGCUGGAGGGGAAUUUUGCGUCAGGAUGAAUGUGCCUCGAGUUUCAUCUUUGUCUAAUUUAGAUGAGAUUUUGAACUUCAGACUUUAGAGUUGUUGCUGGAAUGACUUAAAACUUUUGGGGUUGUUGGGAUGGAAUGUAUUUGCAUGUGAGAAGUACUUGAGUUUGGGAUCCUGGGGCAGAAUGUUAUAGACUAAAUGUCUGUGUCUCCCCAAGAAUCAUAUGUUGAAACCUUACCUUCCAAUGUGGUGGUAUUACAGGGCAUGGCCUUGGAGAAGUAGGAAUUUAGAAUUAGAGGAGAAAGGUAGAGCCCUCAUGAGUGGGAUUAGUGCCUUGUAAGGGUCUUGCAAGACCUUAUAUCCUUUUUCUGUUCUCGCCAUAGGAGGAUACAAUGAGAAGCCGGCUGUCUGCAACCCUGAAGAGGGUGGGCCGUCCUGAUCUUGGAUUGCCAGUUUCCAGAACUGUGAGAAAUAGGUUUCUGUUGUUUAUAACCCUCCCAGUCUAUAGCACUUGUUAUAGGAGCCUGAACUAAAAUGGGGGUAACCAUGCCAAACUUCUUAUUUAGAAAAAGACCAUAGUAUUUUGGUUACUGAGCCCUCUUCUCUUCCCCAUACCCCACCAACUCUGAUAUAAUUCAUGGAAGUACUAGGUAACUCCUGAAUCCUGUCUUUAGCAGCAGUCUCACAAUUUGGAAGGUGGGGUUCUGGUGCCUAAAGGCUUCGGUGUGGGCAGAGAUGUAAUUGACUUUUUUAUGCAACAAGAUUUCAGAUUCCCGGAUUCUCAGUCAGUUGCAUGCCCCAGGCAAUACCUUUCUCAACGAAGCUGUGUUACCUUUUCUUUCUGCUUCCAAACUAGUGUACUUCAAUGUGAGUUGACUAUAGAAAUUUUUUUGACAAAAUUGUUUACUGCAAGUGUCAGGGAGUAGCCAGCACACAGCCACAGCCUGAUUUUUUCCCCAACUUAUUUACCUAAAGCUAUAGUCUUGGCUGGCACUUGAUACACCUUCCAGAGUACAGUAGGCCAGACUCUGACCAUAUACUUUGCCAUUUCUUAACAAGAGAAACCAGGUUUCCAAACUCCAAUAUCUAGGUCCUUGCCCCCUCUGUUAAGUCAGUGCUACCUUUAGGUAGUAUAAUUGGUUGCAUUCUAACUCCUAGCUAUCAAAUUUUAAAUAAAUAUAAGCAAAUGUUCUCAUGUAAUAAAAGCAAUAAAUACAUAUAUGGCAAAUUUUCAUUUUUGUUAGUUAUCAAACAUAUUUCUUAAAACCAUGAAAUAUUAUCUUUUAAAUUAGAAACAUCUUAAAAAUUCGGUAAUAAGUGUAAAGCCUGUACUGUUCUACACCCACAGGGGCAAAACCAUGCUUUAGCUUUAUUGGGCAAUAUAGAUCAGGACUGAUAUUUAAUAUAUUUUGAUAUGAUGAUAAUGUGCAUGAAAACCAUUUUAAGAGAUAAUACACAAAAUAAAAAUGACGUACAUGAUUUGUGUUCUAUGUAGGAAGCAACUGGAAUGUUAAAAUGAAGAAAAAUGGAUGAGAAAAUGAUGACACAUCUAUUCAAUGGGAUAUUAUGUAACAAAAUAAUUAGGAAGACUAUGUUACAACAUGAAGCUCAGUAUACGAUGUUCAAUAUAAAAUGUCAAAACAUAAAAUUACAUGUGCACAAUGAUUGCAAACAAGUGAAGUAAUGUAUGAAAAAUUCUUAGAUGGGAUUAUAACUAAAUAAUUGUAGUUGUUCCAUGGGUGGUGAGAUCAUGUCAUUCUCUAAUUUCCAAGUUUUGUGUCCAGGAAAACUAUCUCAAGAUUUAUGGUCAAUGAACUGACAUGACUUACCUUUAAAACAUAAUAAAAUGAAUCUAAGUUAUUAAAUAGAUUAAGUUGGGCACAUUAUUGCAAUUUGGUGGGUUAAGUUGCAGAACAGCUGUCUUUAUCCCUUUAUCCUUUAAUUAUUUUCUAUGAUUUAUUUACUUAAACUCUUAUGCAAAAUGCCAAUAAUUCAUUUCUUAAAUUAAAGAGAGGUUUAUCAAAUUAAUCCUUAGAAAAUCUCCUUUGAAAGCAUUCAGAAUGCAGUUUAAAAUUAUGUUUCUUUAAAGAUACACACAGAUGAUCCACAAUAUUUCUAUAACUUCUUAUAAGAUGAUUUUCCCAUUUUCUGUCCUUAACUGUAUUUUUCUUACGCUGGACCGCUUUCAUUUCCUUAAUUAUGCCAAAUCACAUCUGGAGUAUUUAGAACACCUUUUUUAGCAUGUUCACAAAAUGGCUUUUUUAUAGGUAAGGGGAGAGAACGUCAAUAUAAGUUUUAUAGGUAGAUGAUCAAAAGUAGAGUGUGUUUUCUAAAAAGGCAUGUUUGAAACCCACAUAUUAGUAAAUUCUCCUGGUGUGAGAUGUUGCCACCUGAGUUAGGUCCACAAUCUUAUUUUUUUUUUUCCUUUGGACCCUCUGGUAUCCCCUACGUGAGUCUAUUCUUCUCUGUCUUCGUGCCUUAAUAAAAAUAAUUUAUUUUUAAAAUGUUUGUUUGUUCUGAG